CCAUUUUUUUCUUCUUCUUUCUUUUUCUUUUUUCUUUUGUUGUUUUGAACAAAAGGGUUUGAAGACGUGGAGCGAACCGAUGGGUUCAGCGAA
rnacentral:ribozyme from 13 species